rnacentral:lncRNA from 1 species
UAGGCAACAAGUGGCUCAGUUGCCAUAGAGACUCAGUAGGGUGAGGCGUGUUUGUUUGCUUGCAUCACGCCUUCUGGGAGUGCGACAAAGGCUCUUCUCUACGUCAUGAGUAACUGAUGUUUGGAUAAUAUCAAGGCCUCUGUUUGAUACGUUAAUAGUGACAGAUACACUUCCACAAUUAAUCUGAUCUUGACUUUCUGCAUAACCCUUUCUGAGGUCACAUGCCCUUUGGCAACUGUAGCAAGUGCUGUUUCCUGUUUCUAAACUCACUCAAGACUCGAAAACAGAAAGUAAGCAGAAAUGAAUGCCCCCAUUCCUAAGGCCUGAAAAAAAAAUCAGUGGUGACUACGUGAGACGUGCAGGUUGUAAAGCAGCUUGCUCUUUUCUCUGUUUGUUCAGAGAGAGGAGAGGAAGAAACCUUCACAGGAGCUUAACCGGGUAGAGGGCAUCUAAGCCCAGCGCCUAUAUUUGCAGUACAGAGGAUGCAUCUCCUCUGUGAGAAGCCCCCUCUCCCAGAUGGUCAUCACUCCUGAAGCUCCCUUUGGUCUCCCGGAAAAGAAACUCCACUAUUGGACCCAGUAGGGAUUCUCUGCAUUGCUAAUAGGAAGCACCAGACCCUUCAUAUAUAGGCCGGUUAUAAACUCUAGCCUUCAAAUAUUGUUUCUUCUUCCUAAAAGGGUCUUCCAUUCUGCUUUGCCUGAGCUGCGUCUGCUUGCCUGCACAUGUUCUUCUUGAUUAAUGUGUGUCCUCAGCAGUGUGGUCCUAUAGCAAAACUCAGAACAUUGGUGAUGGUUCGGUGCUUCUCUCCUGUGUUCUGCAUGUUCCACAAGGGUAAGGAGCAAGUCCGCUUCUCUUUAGCCCUGAUGUGGGACACAUAAGAGAAUCUC